CCUCUUCUUAGCUUCUGUGAAUGACAGUCACAUGUGCACACAUGUUGAGUGAGAGAGCAGAGAGGGAGGGAGUGUUUGAAAAGGACCAAGUUGAGAAGUUUUGUCAGUUACUAAGUGAAGAGGAGGGACAGCUGGGAGUGCAGACUGACAGAUAAGUUGGAGAACUGCGGCGCUGCAGGAUGGCUGAGGGUUGCAUGAUGGCCCUACGCUAUGGAAUGGUCUUCUUCAACCUCCUUUUCUGGGUAAGUUCUUCAUUUUUUUCUUGCAUCAAAGAGCGUUUGAAUAAGUUUUGAAAACUGACAACAAAGCCAUGUGUUUCUUUCUAUACCUUAUCUCUGUUUCUCCCUCACUGUGACUUUUCUGUCCUGUUAGCUGUUUGCUGGUCUGUGCAGUCACAGAGAUGUUAUAUGAGAAAGAAGGGGCAGCAUGAGGAAGAGGCAGAUCAUGCAUUUAGAUCUUGUGUACAAAGCCCACUGUGUGGGUGGGAGAAGCUUUUUCUGUUACCAAUAACGUACUUUCAGUGUGGGUGUACUCUGAAUUGUUUUCCUUGUUAAGCUUUGGCAUAUUGGAAGCUUGCAUUGUGUGCAGACUUUAAUCACAGUGGCGUUCCAGUUUUUCUGCAAUACCUCUACUAUACCUUCCUUCCUCCCAGUGCAUCGAUGCUGCUCAGUCCAUCAGAGGAUCUGCUGUCACUCUGCUCUAUCUGACGGAUUGUAUCUGUUUGCUGUGGGGAUGUUUGAGCUCCAGUGUGUCUGCCUCUGUCACUCUCACUCUGAUAGCCUCACAACAGAUCACUUUCAUUUGCACAGUGACGCCUGUCGCGCUUCCCUGCUAUGCUUCACAUUUAAACAUCUUUAGCUUGUGUAUUUUCUUCCCACAGGCUCCCACAGUGCAAUCCAAUGCAACUUGUCACAGAGUUUUAAAGCCAGUCUUGCAUCUGCGGCUAUUUCUAUGGGAUUACUUGAUUUGUCAAAUGUCUGCUUUUAUCACUGUGGGAAUGAAAUGAACGCCUUGAGUGCUGAAAUGAAAUCUGGCUGCCAAAAUGCAACCCCCCUUGAGGAAUAAGUGACCUCUUCUUUCAUUAUUUUCUUGUCUUUUGGUAGAGCCUUUGUUGUGUGGUUCAGGAAUGAUUGGUAUUGUUUGGGAACAUAUUAUUCUAACCCUCUCACUCACAUGAAUGCUCAGAUCUGUUUUUCAUAGUUUGCUUACAUUUUAAAUUGUAAGCAAAACGGUUGAAUUGUUGAAAACAUGCAAUUUCUUGAAUGGCUCAACAGGUUGUCAACUAGAAAAUGCUGAAAUGUAGCUUGCUAUGCUUACAUUGAAAUGUAAGCAUAGCAAAGAAAGAAAAGAAAAUUGGACUAUGUCAAAAUCACUCCAACCACAUUUUGAGGUUGGAGUGAUUUUGCUUAUGCUAAAGAGUGUAACUGUUGUAAAAAAAAA